UACGUAGGGACCAAGCGUUGUUCGGAUUUACUGGGCGUAAAGGGCGCGUAGGCGGCUUAACAAGUCACUUGUGAAAUCUCCGGGCUUAACUCGGAACGGCCAAGUGAAACUGUCAAGCUAGAGUGCAGAAGGGGCAAUCGGAAUUCUUGGUGUAGCGGUGAGAUGCGUAGAUAUCAAGAGGAACACCUGAGGUGAAGACGGGUUGCUGGGCUGACACUGACGCUGAGGCGCGAAAGCGUGGGGAGCGAACGGG
rnacentral:rRNA from 1 species